UUUUUUUUUUUUUUUGGUCUUUUUGCCAUUUCUUGGGCCACUCCCGCGGCACAUGGGAGGUUCCCAGGCUAGGGGUCUAAUCGGAGCUGUAGCCGCCAGCCUACACCAAAACCACAGCCACGCCAGAUCCGAGUCGCGUCUGCGACCUACACCACAGCUCACGGCAACACCGGAUCAUUAACCCACUGAGCAAGGGCAGGGAUUGAACUCCCAACCUCAUGGUUCCUAGUCGGAUUCAUUAACCACUGCGCCACGACGGGCACUCCCCCUGUACUCUUCUUGAUCAAACGUAUCCUCUUCCUGAAGCCUCUCUUUUGCUUUAUCAAGGUUGAUACUAUCACAAUCCUCUUCGUGAGAAUCCUUCAAAAUGCAAACUAGAACAUCUGGAAUGGAUCUGCAGUGGGGUCCUACAGUAGAGCGCAGGGCACUAUGUCCAAUCUCUUAGGUUAGAACAUGAUGGAAGAGAGCAUGAAAAAAAAAAGGUAUGUGUGUCUGUGUGACUGGGUCAGUUUGUUGCACAGCAAAGAAACACUAUAAAUAAACCAUAUUUUAAUAAAAAAAAUUUUAAAAGGAAUCCUUCAAAAUGGAUUUCUACACUGGUGGCUACUGGUGAACCAUCAUCAGUAAAUGACAUUUUCUUAUUCACUUAAAAUGUGUCAUUUUUUUUCUUGUUUCUGGGAUUUUGUUGAUUUUCUGUGCCUCUUGAGUAAUAAGAGCAGACUGAGUGGAAGGCCCUUUUGGUUUCCCACUUUCUCUUCCAUUUCUUCCAUCUGCCUCUCUUCCUUUUCCUCCUUUUCAUCAUUCCACCGGUGGCCAGCUUGUACUCUUCCUGUUCUGCAGCUGGUCUCUUUCUACUGUACUUAAGGAUGGAUAUUUUCUUGUUGGAAUAAACUCUGAAUUCUUUCACUUAGUUACUGGUGAGGCAUAGUGCCUUAGACCUACUAACCAUUCUUUGGUCAGUUGUUACUACAUUUUCUUAAGAAAUCUCAUCCAAGCAAGACAAAGAAACAUAGCAUAUUUGGGCAAAUGUAACUUGUUCAAAUCAGACAGUCCUUCGUCCUUCAUUAGACAUACUAAAAUAUGUAGGAAACAAAACGCCUUUGACCUCUUUCUUUUCAUUGCUGAUCUUGGACUAAAGAUGACUCAGGUUGUUUUUUCUUCUAGAUGUCCAUACAUUUUUCUGGAUUGAUUUUUAUUUCCUUCAUAGGCACUUUCUCUCUACUCAAGAAGAUGUUGUAGUCAUAAUAACCUUUUUUUUUUUUCCUUCUGAGGGAAGCAAAAUUAAUAAAGCUUCAUCAUCUACUUGGCAGGUCUAUAUGCUCUAUGAGUAUGAACUGGCAUCCUCUGGGCAAUCGAACUGAAGAACUCAAUUCAUGACCCGAAUAUCCAACACCCUGGCUGCAGAAUCAGCAGCAAAGAGCACUGUUGGCUCUCCUGCAGAUGAACUUAUUACAGACUUCCAUUUCUCUCAACUACUGCUGUCAACCACAGGAGUCAAGAAUAGAAAUAUUGGAGAUCCCAUCCUGGCUCAUCAGUUAAUGAACCUGAUUGAUAUCCAUGAGGACCCGGGUCUGAUCCCUGGCCUUGCUCAGUAGGUUAAGGAUCCAGUGUUGCCGUAAGCUGAGCAAGGGCAGGGAUCGAACCCACAACCUCAUGGUUCCUAGUCGGAUUCGUUAACCACUGCACCAUGAUGGGAACUCCUAAUUCUUUUUUAAAAAAAGAUUAUUUUCUAUGCAAAAUCAUCUCAGAUUUUCAAAGAUGAUAAUUAAUGUUUAUCUCCCUACUGCUGUCUCUAGAGUUUUGUCUCAUUAGAGAUCUUUCUUUCUGUUUACUUCAUCUCUGCUUUCAUAUUGGAGGCAUUCCCAAAUAUCUGUUGAUCCUUGGCUGACUCUUCCUGUUUAAGUGUAAAUUAUUAUUAAAACAAGUUGGCAGCUCUGUCCAUGGGUUGAAGUUGUUGAAGGGAAGCUUCUGUGAAGAAGAACUGGGGAGUAAGUCGGCCUUCCCUGUGGGGGAACCCCUACAGGGGCUUUCUCUAGAGAACCCUACAGCACACCACUUGGGACUUAGAAGUUUGGGUCCUGGCGCUCCAAGAGCAGGGCAGGAGGUUCCUUAACCCCACUGUCCACUGUUCCUGUGUCCCUGAGCCUGCAUUCUCUGAAACAUCAACACCUCCAGAGAAUAAACCUCUCACCAUCUGAGCUGUGGGGAAGGAGGUUAUUUGGCCAGUGUGAGCCAAGGACCUGAGAGUCCAACCGGUCCUUUUAUUAAAGACUUUCAACUGGUCCUCUGUCUCUAACCCUGUUCUUUACCUCCUCCUCCAGCUGGACCUGGUACCUCUAAUAACAGGACCUCCUGGUUCUACAAGGCAAAACUGCUUCCUGGAAUGUAUUCUGCUCUGCAGGGGCUUCAAUUUGCCCCUUCCUCUGCUAAGUCGCAAUAUCAUACACUUUCCAGGUUCCUAUCUGUGGGUUAGAGUUACUGAUGUCCCCUACUUUUCAUCAAAGAGAGAGCUGGAAUUUUUUUCAUUUUGUUCUUUGUUUUGGGUGGACGUUAAAUAGGAGAAGGCAGGAAAUCUUCUAUUUGCCAUCUUACGAUCGGAACUUCGAGUAUCCACAUUAUUUCACGUACCAGUUGUAAUGGUUUGAAGCUGCUAUGUUUGGGUCUGCUGAACACACACUACCAUCUCCCUUUUUUAUUUAUUUAUUUAUUUUUUUUAAAAGUUGUUUUUGUUUUGUUUUUUGCUUUUUAGAGCCUCACCCGAGGCAUAUGGAAGUUCCCAGGCUAGGGGUUAAAUCGGAGCUAUAGCUGCUGGCCUACACCACAGCCACAGCAAUACAGGAUCCGAGCUGAGUCUGUGACCUACACCCAACUCAGGGCAAUGCUGGAUCCUUAACCCACUGAGGGAGGCCAGGGAUUGAACCUGUAUCCUCAUGGAUACUAGUCAGGUUCCUUACUGCUAAGCCACAAAGGGAACUUCUUCCCUUUUAUAAACUCUUUUGGAGAAAGCCUCUCUUACCCCAAGACCCCAGGGGGAGCUUGCAGUCACUGAGCCAAAUCCCUCCACUGCAGCACUGGGAAAACAUGCCCUCAGCUGGGCCACAGUGACUCUUCAUCACACAUGGGAUCAAAGAAAGUCAAUCUGCAUCUUCUCCAGGGCAGAGAGCAAGAUGUUUGAUCCAACACGUUCUCUUUGUGUUGGGACUGAUGAACUGGGAAGAUGACAUUCUCAAGCUGCUCCUGGUCAUCUUACCGACCGGAUGCUGUCCAGAGGAUGACAAAUAAAGAAGCCAGCAGAGUCCAGAUGAGAUCAUCUGAGUUCCUGGCUGCAACCAUGCCUGACGCCAGAUGCACCUCUGGAAACCAUAGUUAUAUAAACAAUUAAGUCCCUUUUAUUUUUGUAAGCUGGCUUGAGCUGGCUUUCUUACAUGUACAACUGAAGGAGUCCUGAAGAAUUCAUCAUUUAAUUGAAAUGUUCCAAAUUACUAAUACUUGAACCACACUACGCCACUUCUUUGCCAGAAACUACAUAGUCUAACGUCUUUCAUUAAAAUAAAAUUAUAAAUCGUGAAUAUCAUACCCACAUGUCCCUUCCUCCAUUUAGAUAAGAUCCUUUGAUUUUAUCUGAACAUUCUUGUGUUUUCAGGGCGGUAGGACCUUUGAGAAUGAGGCGUCUCUCUAUUCUGUACUACUGCAAACCCAAGAGCCCCUAAACUACAGAACGAUUUCUUCCAGGGAUUUCAAAAGCUCUUAUCAUUUCUUUAACCCUCUCUCAGAGUCUCAGUUUUUAAUAAAACACCAGUUAUAGGGUUAUAUUCCAUAAAAGCUAAGUGGAAAAAUGAAAUAAUAUAUCUCAAAAUAUGUGUUCCCUUUGGAAGAAAAGUAUGGUUUAAAUAUAAAGAAUUUCUUCAGCCUCCAUCUCUGAUCCAGAGACUGGAAAUGAGGAUAAUUUCAACCCAAGGAUUUAUGGGAUGGAGGCAGAUAGUAAUGCCAAGGAGGUGGCUUGGGGGGCGUGGAGGAUGCUCUCCUUGGACUGCCCCCCAACAUCACCUACAGGCCACUGUGCUCGCCAGCCCAAUGGUCAAUGGCUAAGCCCCAGGGUUUAGAAGUUUUAGCCUGGCUCUUUAUCAGUGCCAAGUGCAUAUAGAGGCCAGGCAGGUAAUUCAACAGAGCGGGGAAGCUAAACAUUUUUAAUAUAUUUAAAUUAUUUUCUUUGCAUGAAAAAGUAAAUCUUAUUAAAAAUGCCAGUCUCUCUCUCUUUUUUUAUUGGUUUAAGUUUUUGUUUUGUGUUUUGCAUUUCUACUGUUUCUACUUCGUCCAUGGUUUGUUUCGUAAUGGUAUCUUAAAUAAUAAUUUUCUGGCACUGAAAAUGCCAGAAAUUGUAUAUGAGUAGGAGUGAAUGACAAUGAAGAGAAGAGUGGUUCAGUUUAUUGACGCUUAGUCUGUGGCACGUGCUGUUCUAAGCGCUUUACAUACAUUAACUCAUUCUGUCCUGCUUCAGCCUUGUGAGGUGGGUACCAGCAUCCUUAUUUUACAGAUGAGGGUGUGGAGGCCCUGAGAAGGGUGAGCAGCUGGUCUGAGAUUACAGAGCAAGCAAGUUCUAAGUAGGAAUCCAGGCGCUCUUUUCCAAGGACCUCUGCUCUUGAACUCUGCACUCCACAAAGAAAUAUGCCAUCUGUUGUGGGUUGAAUGGGCUCCCCCCAAAUGUUAUGUUGAAGUUUUAAUCUUGGGGACCUAUGGAUGUACCUGUAUUUGGAAAAAGGAUCUUUGGAGACAUAGUUGGGUUAAAACGACACUGUCCUGGGUUAGGGGAGGCCCUAAGACACUGUGACCACCGUCCUUAUGAGAAGAGGAAAAUGUCAGCACAGGGAAGACGGCCAUGAGAAGGUGGGGACAGGUAGUGGAGUCUCGCUGCCACCAACCAAGGAACGUGUGGGGCCACCAAAAGCUGGAAAAGGCAAGAUGGAUCCUCCCCUCGAGUCUCUGAGGGAGAAGGGCCCUGCCCACACCUGGAUUUCAGACUUCCAGCCUCAGGAACAGGGAGAGCACAAACUUGUGCUGUUCAAAGCCACGCAGUUUAUGGUACAUUGUGAGCAUGGGCCUGGGAGACUAACACACUGUCUUUCACUGAAGUUGAAAUAUGCUAUCCUGUCAACCUCUUAUUUCCAAUGUUAACACAAAUGGCAGGACAAGGAACUUUUAACUUUCCCCUUGAUUCCAUUUAAAGAAAACCAGCGGCCAGAGGUGGGGCUGUGAGAACUGAAAAGCACCAGCUCCCAUCUAAUCCAGGCAGCUUCUCAUCAGCACUAACUGAUGACAGCCACCUGGAAUGGCAGGACUGAAGUCGCCUGAUUUUACAGUACUCAAGAGAACCCAGACGUUUAGAUUUGUAUAUUAAAUUACUUAGUAGCACAUCACAUAGGAACUAGUUAGAAUAAUACUAGCAGAUAAUGAAUUCAUGUUUAAAAUGAACACGUGCAAGCCAAACACAGCCCACAAUUAGGGACCAAACUGGGCCGUGAUCUCUGCUUUGUAUGUUUUCCUUGCUGCUUGUGUCUUCUUUCCCUUUUUGGAGUCAUCCAUCUACCAAACACAAGAGCACAGUGCUGGCUCUUGAAGUCAGGUAGGGAUCAGCACCUCAGAACUAGGGAACCCUCGUGGGAUGUGCUGAGUAUGGCAGAUGUGGAAGUGUUCUACACACCCAUGGACCCAAGACUGAACAGGUGCACCUUCUGGAUACGUAUCUGAAUACUAUUCUUGUUUGUUUGUUUUUUUGUUUGUUUUGGCUGUGCCUGUGGCAUGCACAAGUUCCUGGGUCAGGGAUUAAACCUGUGCCACAGCAGUGACCUGAGCCACUGCAGUAACAGUGCUGGAUCCUUAACCCACUGAACCACCAGGGAACUCCCUGAAUACUACUCUUCCAUGGUGUCAGAUAGUCAGUCUCCUUAAGGCAUUUGUCUUUUAGGAGAGACUCGGGGCUUUAAUGGGAUAAAGAUUUUGGGUAAGCCUGGGAAUGACCCUGGGACUUCUCAGGUUCACCAGCACGUCAUUCAGAGCACAGUCCUUAUAACUUACUGAGUUCCCCACAUUUCUUACCUUUUCUAUGUAUACUUCACAGAAGUUUGAGUGGAUCACAACAGCUCAGUGCUAUCUUUCAGUAUUCACCAUUAUGUAACCUAUGAA
rnacentral:lncRNA from 1 species